rnacentral:rRNA from 1 species
UACGUAGGGUGCGAGCGUUAAUCGGAAUUACUGGGCGUAAAGCGUGCGCAGGCGGCGCGUUAAGACAGGUGUGAAAGCCCCGAGCUUAACUUGGGAAUUGCGCUUGUGACUGGCGAGCUGGAGUGUGGCAGAGGGGGAUGGAAUUCCGCGUGUAGCAGUGAAAUGCGUAGAUAUGCGGAGGAACACCGAUGGCGAAGGCAAUCCCCUGGGCCUGCACUGACGCUCAUGCACGAAAGCGUGGGGAGCAAACAGG